rnacentral:rRNA from 1 species
UACGAAGGGUGCAAGCGUUACUCGGAAUUACUGGGCGUAAAGCGUGCGUAGGUGGUUUGUUAAGUCUGAUGUGAAAGCCCUGGGCUCAACCUGGGAAUUGCAUUGGAUACUGGCAGGCUAGAGUGCGGUAGAGGAUGGCGGAAUUCCCGGUGUAGCAGUGAAAUGCGUAGAUAUCGAGAGGAACACCUGCGGCGAAGGCGGGUUGCUGGGCUGACACUGACGCUGAAACGCGAAAGCUAGGGGAGCGAACGGG